rnacentral:rRNA from 1 species
ACUGCUCAGUAACACGUGGCCAACCUGCCCUUGGGACGGGAACACCCCCGGGAAACUGGGGUUAAUUCCCGAUAGGUGAAGAAGUCUGGAAUGAUUCUUCGCUCAAAAGACGUUUAUGUCAUGCUCAUAUUCGUCGCCCAGGGAUGGGGCCGCGACCGAUCAGGUAGUUGGUGAGGCAAUGGCUCACCAAGCCUUUUACCGGUGCGGGCCGUGAGAGCGGGAGCCCGGAGAUGGGCACUGAGACAAGGGCCCAGGCCCCACGGGGCGCAGCAGUCGCGAAAAUUUUGCAAUACACGAAAGUGUGACAGAGCUAUCCCGAGUGCCAUCCGCUGAGGAAGGCUUUUACCCAGUAUAAAUAGCUGGGAGAAUAAGGAGAGGGCAAGUCUGGUGUCAGCCGCCGCGGUAAUACCAGCUCUCCGAGUAGUGUGGACGUUUAUUGGGCCUAAAGCAUCCGUAGCUUGCUAGAUAAGUCCUCUGUUAAAUCCACCGAUUCAAUCGUUGGAUUGCGGGGGAUACUGUUUGGCUAGGGGACGGGAGAGGUCGACGGUAUUUCCGGGGUAGGGGUGAAAUCCUAUAAUCCCGGGAGGGCCACCAGUGGCGAAGGCUGUCGACUAGAACGCGCCCGACGGUGAGGGAUGAAAGCUGGGGGAGCGAACCGGAUUAGAUACCCGGGUAGUCCCAGCUGUAAACGAUGCAGGCUAGGUGUUUGGGCGGCCACGAGCCGCCCUAGUGCCGCAGGGAAGCUGUUAAGCCUGCCGCCUGGGGAGUACGGCCGCAAGGCUGAAACUUAAAGGAAUUGGCGGGGGAG